UUACGGCCAUAUCACGUUGAAACAUUGGUACUCGUACAAUCAUCGAAGAUAAGCAACGCCGAGCCUGGUAAGUACCUAUAUGGGUGACCGCUUGGGAAUACCAGAUGCUGUAA